rnacentral:rRNA from 1 species
UCAAGGAAGUAAGAGCAUAGGGGGAAUGCCUUGGCACUAGGAGCCGAAGAAGGUCGUGAUAAGCUGCGAAAAGCCGUGGGGAGGAGCAAAUAUCCCGUGAUCCACGGAUUACCGAAUGGGGAAACCCGGCAUGUGGAAGACAUGUCAUACUGUGGUAAAUCAAAUAGCCAUAGUAAGGGAACCCGGGGAACUGAAACAUCUAAGUACCCGGAGGAAGAGAAAGAAACAUCGAUUUCCUGAGUAGUGGCGAGCGAAAGGGAAAGAGGCCAAACCAUGGGGCGAAAGCCUGAUGGGGUUCGGACUGCAGAAAGCGAAAGAUAGCUACCCGAAAGGUUUUGGGAAAGCCUACCAAAGAAAGUGAAAGUCUUGUAGGGGAAAGCGAAAGAUAGCCGGCAGGAUCCAGAGUAGCGUAAGACACGAGAAACCUUGCGUGAACGAGCGGGGACCACCCCGUAAGCCUAAAUACUACCUAGUGACCGAUAGAGAAGCAGUACUGUGAAGGAAAGGUGAAAAGAACCCCGGGAGGGGAGUGAAAAAGAACCUGAAACCCUAUGUUUACAAGCAGACGAAGCGAUAAGCGACGUCGUACUUUUUGUAGAACGGUCCGGCGAGUUACGUGUAUCAGGCGAGGUUAAGUGCGAAAGGCACGGAGCCGAAGGGAAACCAAGUCUUAAUAGGGCGAAAGAGUCUGAUGCAGUAGACCCGAAACCGGGUGACCUAUCCAUGAGCAGGUUGAAGUUUCCGUAACAGGGAAUGGAGGACCGGACCCACGUCUGUUGAAAAAGGCGGGGAUGACUUGUGGAUAGCGGAGAAAUUCCAAUCGAACCCGGAGAUAGCUGGUUCUCCUCGAAAUAGCUUUAGGGCUAGCCUUGUAUUACUUCCAUGGAGGUAGAGCACUGACUUCUGGAGGGGGCCUCACCGCUUACCAAAAGAUAUCAAACUACGAAUGCCAUAGGAAGGAUGUACAGGAGUCAGACAGUCGGAGAUAAGUUCGAUUGUCGAAAGGGAAAGAGCCCAGACCACCAGCUAAGGUCCCAAAGUACAUGUUAAGUGGAAAAGGAUGUGAGAUUUCAAAGACAACUAGGAUGUUGGCUUAGAAGCAGCCAUACAUUCAAAGAGUGCGUAAUAGCUCACUAGUCGAGAGAUUUUGCGCCGAAAAUGUCCGGGGCUAAAACAUGACACCGAAGCUGUGGGAUGUAGAAAUACAUCGGUAAAGGAGCAUUGUGCAGAUGAAGAAGCGGGAUCGGAAGGCACCGUGGAGGAUGCACAAGAGAGAAUGCCGGAAUGAGUAGCGAGAUGGAAGUGAGAAUCUUUCAGGCCGAAUAUCCAAGGUUUCCAGAGUAAAGCUGAUCUGCUCUGGGUAAGUCGGGGCCUAAGGCGAGGGCGAAAGCCGUAGUCGAUGGAGAACUGGUGAUAAUUCCAGUACCUUGUAGGAACAGAACUGUGGGGACGCAGGAAGAUAGGAAGAGCCGGGAGAGGAAAGACCGGUAUAAGCGCAAAGGCGGAGCGGGGGAGAUACCGCGAGAGAAGCUGAAGCGUGAUAAGGAGCGAAGGGAAGUAGCGAAGCUUCUGAAUCUAAACUGCCAAGAAAAGCCACUAUAGAUUACUAUAAGCCCGUACCGCAAACCGACACAGGUGGAUGAGGAGAGAAUCCUAAGGCCGACGGGAGAAGCGUUGUUAAGGAACUCGGCAAAAUGACCCCGUAACUUCGGGAAAAGGGGUGCCGUGGGAACACGGCCACAGAAAAAAGGCCCAAGCGACUGUUUAGCAAAAACACAGGUCUCUGCGAAACCGAAAGGUGAAGUAUAGGGGCUGACGCCUGCCCGGUGCUGGAAGGUUAAGGGGAAUGGUUAGACGUUAAGUCGAAGCUAGGAACUUAAGCCCCAGUAAACGGCGGCCGUAACUAUAACGGUCCUAAGGUAGCGAAAUUCCUUGUCGGGUAAGUUCCGACCCGCACGAAAGGCGUAACGAUUUGGGCACUGUCUCAACAACGCGCCCGGUGAAGUUGAAGUACUGGUAAAGAUGCCAGUUACCCGCGACAGGACGGAAAGACCCCAUGGAGCUUUACUCUAGCUUGAUAUUGGGACUUGAUACUGCAUGUACAGGAUAGGAGGGAGACUGAGAAACUAGCCCGUCAGGGUUGGUGGAGUCGCUGUUGGGAUACCUCCCUUGUAGUAUUAGGUUUCUAACCUCGUGCCGUUAACCGGUACAGGGACAGUGUCAGGUGG